rnacentral:rRNA from 1 species
CGUAGGUGGCAAGCGUUAUCCGGAAUUAUUGGGCGUAAAGCGCGCGUAGGCGGUUUCUUAAGUCUGAUGUGAAAGCCCCCGGCUCAACCGGGGAGGGUCAUUGGAAACUGGGGAACUUGAGUACAGAAGAGGAGAGUGGAAUUCCAUGUGUAGCGGUGAAAUGCGCAGAGAUAUGGAGGAACACCAGUGGCGAAGGCGGCUCUCUGGUCUGAAACUGACGCUGAGGUGCGAAAGCGUGGGGGAUCAAACAGGAUU